CGCUCCUUCCGGUGGAGCCCACGCAGGUGACCCUGAUCAGCCCAUGCCAGCUGCCGCCCUGGCAGUCACACGUCCGCCCCUCGUUCCUCCAGGCAAGCAACAGAGCCUAAAGAACCCAUGUCCAAUCAUCCUGGCGACCUAUGUCCAGGGAAUUGUCACUAACCAGCCAGCCACAUGGACGUGCGCUGGCGGGGAACCAUGGAGUAACAAAGGGCUGGAACUUGCCCUGGAAUUUCUGGGUCCCUUGAGAACAUCAUUUUCUCUCCCACUGUGACCCGGCCCUCCACCCAGGCCCUCUCACCUUGUCCUUCAGCAUGGGCAAGGUCUCCUUCUCCAGUGCCUCCCCCCAAAACUGCUGCUCCUCUGAGAGGUCCAUUGGGAAGGAGAGUAUGAAGCGGACCAGGGCCUCCACAACUGCUCAGGCUCACGUCACGGAGUCCAGGUGCCUCCUCCCCCUACCCAGUUGGGGACCACAGACUGGACCACGGGGAAGGGGAGCCGCUGGUCUCUACCAAGUGAGGAGCCACCCCCAUGAAGCAAAGCGUAAAGGGCCGUUGGCACUCACCCCAAGAUGUGAUCCCCAGGCCUCCCUGAGCAGCAGUUCCUCCACCUCCGAAUCCAGCCGGAUCCUCCCUCACCUAUCAAGGGGUCCACGAACUCCACAAUGGUGUUGGCAAGCGCUUCUACCAGGCUCCCAGCUUUGGAGAGCCAGAUCCUCCUGCCGCAGCUCUCCAAAGAUCAGGACGUCAAACACCUGGAGCCAGGAGGCCCCGGAGGCUUCUCACCGUGUCCUGCACCUUCUCCUUCACGCUUCUGGAAACCUCCAAACUCGAGGACCUUCCUGUAAAGGCAGAAGUUAUGAACCUGACCCGCCCAGCCCAGUAGGCUUCAUUCCUAAAGCCCCUCCAGCCCCAUUAUUGUCUGCCUUGCUUUCAGAGACCACCUGCCUGUGUCUUCCCUUCUUCCAGUCUCAUCCUGUGGGAGGGAACCCUCCUCCAGCCUCUCACCACCAAUGCUUCUGGAUGAUGCCGCUCCCAUCUCCCAGACUCAACCCCAGUUUAACCCAAUCCCAAGUUCUCUGCCUCUGCGAUAUCAAAACCGGGUCAGUCAGUCCUUGCCUCUCAAAAUGCAGUGGCACUCAAUCCACUCAAAAUCCUCCACUCUAGAGGAGGGAGGGCUGAGGACUUUAAAGCAGUGCUGCCUGAAAAUCACCUGGAGGUUGUUAAAACCCCAGGGCGCAGGCCACGCCCCAGCCAAGCAAGUCCGGGUUUCCCAAGGCGGGACUCGGACAAGGCCAGUUUAAAGUCUCCCAGGGGAUUUCAGCAUUCAAACAUUGAGAACCCCGUUGUGUUUAGAGGAAGACCCUCCCAGCCCUGCACACGCCACUCAGCAGAGCAGCAGUCUGGGGUUGAGGCCCCAGGGGAUGGGUGCAGCCCCCAGCACACCUGGCUGCACUACGCUUGCUAAGCAAGUUGAGCCUCUGUCCUGAUCCCCAAAGAGGAGCUUCAGAGGCUCGUGGGUCAGCUCUGGUCCCCUGUAUGCACUUUUCCCAGGGGUGGAGAUUCUGACUCCCAGAUUCAGCCUUUGUGAAAGGGAGGCCGCCUGCACCCCAUUCUGGGGUGUAAAGAGCAAAGUGCUGCAUCUGUGGGCUUGGAAGCCAUGGGGUUCAGCCUGAGCAGUUGCCUGAGGGGAUAGGCAAUUCGGAGGAGCUCGGGCACAGCGGGCCCUCGGUCACCCCUCCAGCCUUUCCCAAGACUCCAGCGGAACAGCACUGCUGGGAUCCAGGGCUUCAGAACCACAGGGACCUCCUAGCCUAGCACCACUCCUUUUCUAGGGCCUUGUGCAUGCUAACUAGGUAAGUGCCAUGCUAUAC
rnacentral:lncRNA from 1 species